CAAUAGUCCAUGAUGUGUUGCUGUCUAUGUAGGAUCAAAAAGUUAUCAGAUUUAACCAAAAAUAUCUUAAUUUGUGUGAACGAAAUGUCUUCAGAAUUUUCAUUUUUGAGUGAACCAUCUUUUUAAACAUCAACAAGCUGAACAGAUAAACACAUCUACUCACUUUUACAAUGUUUAAAACUGCAUUCUUGCAAACUAUUCUAAAUCAAGCUUUCGCAAAAGACUGGAAGAGUUGUCAAAAAUUCUCCAAUGGGAAAAUAUAAUUGGGUUUUCAGAGGGAACCAAGGUGAUGCUAACUUUGGGUUUGCUUACAAAAAUACAUAAAAACAGCAGCACUCUAUUAUUUCUGGUUUAAUUCUCACAAAGGAAAUGAUAGGUAAAGUUAGGUGCAUUGCGGUGGGGCAUGUUAUACUGUAGUAUGUUUGCAAGUGUAAUAGUAAUCCAUUUUAUUUAUUAAAGUUAAAGUAUACUGUGCACACUGCAUACUACAGAAAAAGUAGUAUGAUAGCAUGUUAUUCUAAUUGAAGCCUGUGACUCUGUGUUGCUAAUGACAUAUUGCUGUCAAUCUGAGUGGCCUAAUAUUAUAACAUUGAUUUAAACAACAUCAUGGACUUCCUUAAUUACAUUUUGCAAUUCUGUUUGGUGCCACUAGUGGUGCAGAAAUACUAAAAA